UACGAAGGGGGCUAGCGUUGCUCGGAAUCACUGGGCGUAAAGGGUGCGUAGGCGGGUUUUUAAGUCAGAGGUGAAAUCCUGGAGCUCAACUCCAGAACUGCCUUUGAUACUGAAAGUCUUGAGUAUGGGAGAGGUGAGUGGAACUGCGAGUGUAGAGGUGAAAUUCGUAGAUAUUCGCAAGAACACCAGUGGCGAAGGCGGCUCACUGGCCCAUUACUGACGCUGAGGCACGAAAGCGUGGGGAGCAAAC
rnacentral:rRNA from 1 species